AACGAACGCUGGCGGCGCGCCUAAUACAUGCAAGUCGAGCGAGAAGACGUAGCAAUACGUUUGUAAAGCGGCGAACGGGUGAGGAAUACAUGGGUAACCUACCCUCGAGUGGGGAAUAACUAGCCGAAAGGUUAGCUAAUACCGCGUACGCUCCUUGGACUUCGGUUCAGGGAGGAAAGCGAUACCGUGGGUACCGCGCUCUUGGAUGGGCUCAUGUCCUAUCAGCUUGUUGGUGAGGUAACGGCUCACCAAGGCUUCGACGGGUAGCUGGUCUGAGAGGACGAUCAGCCACACUGGCACUGCGACACGGGCCAGACUCCUACGGGAGGCAGCAGUAAGGAAUAUUGCGCAAUGGGCGAAAGCCUGACGCAGCGACGCCGCGU
rnacentral:rRNA from 1 species